GAUGAACGCUAGCGGCAGGCUUAAUACAUGCAAGUCAAGGGGGUAGCAAUACAACCGGCGCACGGGUGAGUAACACGUACACAACAUACCAUAUACUGAGGUAUAGCUUCGGGAAACUGAAGGUAAUCCCUCAUAGUAUUGUGAAAGGGCAUCUUUUUUACAAUUAAAGUUUCGACGGUAUAUGAUUGGUGUGCGUUUGAUUAGCUAGUUGGUAGGGUAACGGCCUACCAAGGCAACGAUCAAUAGCUGGCGUGAGAGCGCGACCAGCCACACUGGAACUGAGACACGGUCCAGACUCCUACGGGAGGCAGCAGUAGGGAAUAUUGGACAAUGGGCGAAAGCCUGAUCCAGCCAUGCCGCGUGAUAGAUGAAGGCCCUCUGGGUUGUAAAUAUCUUUUAUCUGGGAAGAAACACUUCUAUUCUUAGAAGCUUGACGGUACCAGAGGAAUAAGCACCGGCUAACUCCGUGCCAGCAGCCGCGGUAAAGUCGAUA
rnacentral:rRNA from 1 species